AUUGAACGCUGGCGGCAUGCUUUACACAUGCAAGUCGAACGGUAACAGGCCUUCGGGUGCUGACGAGUGGCGAACGGGUGAGUAAUGCAUCGGAACGUGCCCAAUCGUGGGGGAUAACGUAGCGAAAGUUACGCUAAUACCGCAUAAGCCCUGAGGGGGAAAGUGGGGGACCGCAAGGCCUCACGCGAAUGGAGCGGCCGAUGUCAGAUUAGCUAGUUGGUGGGGUAAAGGCCCACCAAGGCGACGAUCUGUAGGGGGUCUGAGAGGAUGAUCCGCCACACUGGGACUGAGACACGGCCCAGACUCCUACGGGAGGCAGCAGUAAGGAAUAUUGGACAAUGGCCGCAAGGCUGAUCCAGCCAUGCCGCGUGCAGGAAGACGGACCUAUGGUUUGUAAACUGCUUUUGAACGGGAGAAAACCCCCCUACGUGUAGGGGCGUGAUAGUACUGUUAGAAUAAGCAUCGGCUAACUUCGUGCCAGCAGCCGCGGUAAUGUGUG
rnacentral:rRNA from 1 species